AACUAUAUCACCUAACAUACAUAGCAGAGCAUGUUGAGCAAUUUGCAACAGAUAUGUUGGUGAUAUGCAACUAGAUUUCAUACAGUCAGCUAAUCGUUUACCGGGUGCAUUGACAAUAUCUGUUAUUAGUUGGUAUGUUUCUGAAUCCAUCCCACUAUGCUUGUGUAGUUACUUUUCUUUAAAUUCAUCAUGAUAUUAAUUGUGCUUUUGCCUGUUACAGUUUUUGCUAUCCCACUUUUUUAGUUGAAACUAUGUUAGUUUUUUUGGUCCGCAGUAUGCUGAUUUGUUCUUGCAAGUAAGUUGAUAUGGGUGCUUUGGCGCUCAUAAAUUUUAGUUUCUUAACGUGAAAAACUCAUUUUCACAUGUAUGCUGGUGAUAAAAGAGCCAUACAUAAUGUGUCUGAGUCCUGAAUGAUAGGGUGAUAUUAGAAGUCUUCUUUUGCAUAAGCUUUAUCUGUGCCUCAUUUUUGUGAGAUACAACAAUAAGCAGUUGAUCUUCCACUUGUAAGUAGUUUUUUGACCAAAAAAAGAUUGGCUGCCCUACUUGCACUUUCAGUGUGUCUUGAAUCAAAUUAGCUUGUAAAUGAAUAACAUCAGGGGAGUGAAACUACUGGUUUCCAUUUGUAUGUCUACUAAACUUCUGGCUUAGAGAGAUAAAGCAUGGAGACAGGUUAUAGCACCAGUUCAACCCCUAUGAUAAGGUUGCAGCUCACUGAAUCAUAGUCCUGGGGAAAUUGGCUCAGUUGAAGCUGCAUCAGUUACAGAUAUUGACAGUUACCUGGGUAUAUGUGAAGCUCCAGUAUGCAAGUGAUAAGGACAUCAGACAAUGGAUAGAAUGGUCAGCUCUAGUAGUUAGAUAUGUAUUUUCAAGUAACGCAGAAACAUGUUUGAGGAAAUUUUUAUUUGGUCGUGUGAACUGGAUGUAUAUAUACACUUAUGACGUUAUGUUGGGAUAUUAAAAAUGUAUACAUUAAAGUAUAACAGUUUAUGCACAGUAUCAUUUGGCAAUCAGAGCUUUCU
rnacentral:lncRNA from 1 species